CGGGCUAGAGCUUUAUAUAAGCGUUUUAUUUACAUUAAAAAGUUAUUUGUGAAAUUCAAUUUGGCUUGA
rnacentral:tRNA from 1 species